rnacentral:lncRNA from 1 species
CAGGAGUCUCAGCUAUGUAGCACUGAAAAUGAAUGUGGUGAUAACAAGCCACUGUCCAAGUGUGAGCCAGGCACGUGCGGGCGUUGCCUGUGUCUUUGUUACUAAACUUGUCAUCCUUACACCCACAGUGUCAGAAUCACUGUGAGCUUGUUGGAAACGCUGGAGCUCAGACUCAGCCAACAGCACCUGAGUCAGAAUCUGCGCAUUCCUCCUGGGAGAUUGGCCGGUACUGCAAGGGUCGCACCCCAACGUCUCUCCAACAUUCCGGGAAGUGGAGUAUGGUUUUGUUUUGUUUUCCUUCAGCUCUUACUGAUGAGGAGACAGAGAUCCCAGAGACUUGGAGUUAGUUAUAGAGUCACACUGACUGGAGGCGAUAAGUGAGGAUUUCAGCCCCUGGACAGAGUCACUUCAAAACCCCAACGGAAGCGAUGAUGUGGGGGAGGGGCCACGAGCAGCUUCUCGCUAAGCUUUUGAUUCCGGUUGUCUGACCAGCUUCCUCCCCGAGCUGCCCACGGAAGGACAUCUAAAGCUCCCAUCUAAAGAAUAGGGUGCUAGGAGUUCUUUCCCCUUAGUUCUUUGGGGACAUUUCAGGGUGUGUGUCUGUGCAGGACAGUCCUUAGGUGGGCUCUGAGAGUAGCCCUUUGCACUCUGAGGCAACCGCCAGACCAUAGUGAGUUGAGGACCAACUUGGGAGCCUGCAGGGCCAGCCUGGCUCUCAGGUAGCCAAGGGCAUUCUCCAUCUGCCCAGGGACAAGGAAGGCCUGGCCAUCGGCCCCUCCCUCAAGAAGCUCUCUGCCCGCUGCCUCUCUGCGUGCAGCGCUGGCCUACAGCGCAUGGCUCAUUCUGACUCCCUCAAUCUUCCCUAUUAACUGAGAUUGCAGGUUCAGAGCACAAACAUCGCCGCCUGUCACUGCCGUAGCACGUCAGCCAUCAGCUGGGAAUGGUCUAGUCUCCUUCAAUCCAUCAUGCAGGGUUUCCAAGACUCUCACUCCAAGACCGCUCAGUGGGCCCUUCCCCCACCCAGGCCCAUGGGAUCCACCCGCAGUUUCUUUCCAGAGGAAGAAUGACAUCUUUUAAUGGACUCCCUGAGAAAGCAGACAGCAGCCCUGCCUCAGAAACCCAGAGUAGGCUGUGGAUCCCACAGUUCUGGGAAUGAGGUGGGAAACAGGGAUGACCUCAGAUUCUUCCAGAGGCUCCAGCACCAUGCUCACUUGCACCCCAGCCUCCACCAUAGAAGAACUUUACAGACCCUUCUCUGGAGCCACUUCCCUCAGGUGUUGGGCAGAUCAAAGCCAAGGCCUACAGCUGAGCAGCUGAACAGGAUGGGUGGUAGGUGUUUUGCAAUCCAAUCUCCAGGAUCCUGUGGGGGAACGCAGGCCCUGAUGGUUAGCACUGUCCAUUUGGUCACCUAGGAGACAGACGUCUCAGCAGGCUUGGGAAGGAUAGGCUAGAUGAGAGUGAGCAUUGCUGGUGGGAAGACCCAGCUUAACUGUCCAUGGUACCAUUCCGUGAGCUGGGGUCCUGGGAUGAAUAAAACGUGUGUGUGGAUGGCUACUGUUCAUUGGAAAGUUGACUGCAUCAGAAUUAGUGCAAAAACACCCACCACCCAUCCAGUGCAGAAAUGGAGAGCAUAUCCGUGAGAGAUAUAUUGCUGGGUCUGAAGUGGGUGAGUCCACUUCUACUCCAGACCUUUAAGGUAGGAAGACAUAGACCUUUAAUCUUGUUCCUCC